AAUAGCAGCCCUUUCUCCAAAUCUCAGGUUACUUCGCUAAAGAGUUCUCAGCCCUAUAGUUUCAGCCCUUGUCUCUGCCUCCAGCUCCUUAAGAGCCACCCAGCCCCAGCGAUCGGAUUGGGCAGCCCGCCUUGACACACCACUGUGCUGAGUGCUUGAGGACGUGUUUCAACAGAUGGUUGGGGUUAGUGUGUGUCAUCACACUCGAGUGGGGAUUAGGGCAGAGAGGCAGCCCGGCUGGAGCUGUGUGGUCUUCCCCAAGUGGGAGCUGCGAGCAAAAGAAGAACCACCUAGCUUUGGGGGAGAAGAGAGAGGAAUCCUCUCCAGCAGCUCAGAGGGGAAAAUAAAAACCCCACACUUUAUUCAGAGCAACAACCUGAUUUGUUUCUUCGCGCUGUAACAGAUCUUCACACUGACUCGCACAUACCUGUGUGCCUAUGAGUUACUGGCCUCCUACUUGUGAAGGAAAUCUCACACUCUCCUCACCACUUACAGCCUGUCUGUGAGAAGCCUAUAAGCCAGCUUCAGCACGCAGUGCUUCAGCCAUCCAAGCAGAAUAAG